ACUCCUACGGGAGGCAGCAGUGAGGAAUAUUGCGCAAUGGGCGAAAGCCUGACGCAGCAACGCCGCGUGCGGGAUGACGGCCUUCGGGUUGUAAACCGCUUUCAGCAGGGACGAAGCGUGAGUGACGGUACCUGCAGAAGAAGCACCGGCUAACUACGUGCCAGCAGCCGCGGUAAU
rnacentral:rRNA from 1 species